AUUGAACGCUGGCGGCAGGCCUAACACAUGCAAGUCGAGCGAGUGGCGGACGGGUGAGUAAUGUAUGGGGAUCUGCCCGAUAGAGGGGGAUAACUACUGGAAACGGUGGCUAAUACCGCAUACCAUCAGAUGAACCCAUAUGGGAUUAGCUUGUAGGUGGGGUAAAGGCUCACCAAGGCGACGAUCUCUAGCUGGUCUGAGAGGAUGAUCAGCCACACUGGAACUGAGACACGGCCCAGACUCCUACGGGAGGCAGCAGUGGGGAAUAUUGCACAAUGGGCGCAAGCCUGAUGCAGCCAUGCCGCGUGGAUGAAGAAGGCCUUCGGGUUGUAAAGUACUUUCAGCGGGGAGGCGUUACCGACAGAAGAAGCACCGGCUAACUCCGUGCCAGCAGCCGCGGUAAUUC
rnacentral:rRNA from 1 species